GGUUCCUUAGUGUAGCGGUUAGUACGUCGGCUUUACAUGCAGAAGGUCAGGUCCUGGGUUCGUGCCCCAGUGGAGCCA
rnacentral:tRNA from 1 species